UACGAAGGGGGCUAGCGUUGCUCGGAAUCACUGGGCGUAAAGCGCGCGUAGGCGGAUUGUUAAGUCAGGGGUGAAAGCCUGGAGCUCAACUCCAGAACUGCCCUUGAUACUGGCAAUCUCGAGUCCGGAAGAGGUAAGUGGAACUCCGAGUGUAGAGGUGAAAUUCGUAGAUAUUCGGAGGAACACCAGUGGCGAAGGCGGCUCACUGGUCCAUUACUGACGCUGAGGUGCGAAAGCGUGGGGAGCAAACAGG
rnacentral:rRNA from 1 species